CUGGUUCUGAUGGUGAGACGAUGUGUUCAGAGAAAGUCUGAAGGUGAUCCAGAAGGAGGAGAGGACAACAUUACUUACAGUGACGUCAACAUUUCUCAUCAUCGAGGACAGAAAAACAAAGUCAACAAAGAAAGGGACCAGACUCCAGUCUAUUCGGCAGUGAGAACCGAGGAUGUCACUUAUGGAGAGAUCACAAUCACAACCAAGAAAAAGAAGUCAGAGAGCAAAGGAAGUGAUCCAUCUGCAGUGUACUCAGCUGUUAACACAAAUGAUGUUAAUUAUGGAGAGAUUGUCAUCAGGAAUAAAAGGAACAGAGAACCCCUACCAGAACCAGAAGUUGUCUAUUCUUCACUGAGGUAAUCCAGAUGACAUCCACCAGCCGGCUCUCAGCGCAUACUCCCAUACACAAACAUCAGUUUACAUCUAAAGGUUUUUAUUUUGUAAAUAUUUGAAUAAGUCUCAUAAAAAAUUCUUGAUUUUGCAGUUAGGGUCAAAAACCAAAAAAUGUUACAUGACUGUAUUUUCAUAGAACAAAGUAACUUCUUUGUUAAUAUCUGUUAGAUAAUCAAUUGUUUUAUUUUUAAUAUGGACUUAAUGUUUCAUACAGCAGCUUAUAAAUUUUUACCGAGUUUGUUUCUUUUAAAACCUAUGUGGGUUUGAAUGUAGAGAAACAGAAAAUGUGGCUUGUUCUGUAUUCUGGUGAAUCAGUAAAAACCCUUUGUUCACAACGGCCUUAGAGACUGUAGAAUAAACUGUUAGAACACCACUGAGUGAUUAAGUUAAUCCAGCUGUUACUUUAUUUAUGAUUUCAUUUCUGUUUUUAUUUAUGCUUCCAUUUACUAAGAAAUAAGGACGUAUUCUGGCUAGAUUGUUAAACUUGUUUCUCAGUGUAGCUGGAAAUAAAAGUUACACUGAAAUAGAAGAACAUCGGAAAGAAUCUUUUUUUUCUUGUCCGAGUGAAGAGGUUUUCACACAAACUGUGUAAAACACAUGGAGAUGAAGUUAUUUAUAUCACACGUGUGAUUUCCUGUUUGUGUUGUUGCGCUGUGGACGGAUAAUUUAAGCUUCAGUUACAGGAAGCAGUUUGUUCUUGGAAAGAUACUGCAUAAAAAGGUUCUAGUCUAAAAUGUUAAACAUACAUUGUUACUUUUAUAAAUUUUUUUGAGGAUUGCAGGUUUUAUUUGUGUGUUUUUUUCAAUUUCAGUUCAGUUAUAGAAAAAUUGAAAGUAGCAUUGAUAUAUUCCCUUUCUAUAAACCGAUUAAAGUAUUCUCUCUGCCUGGUGCAGCUGCUGGAUUAAUAUUAUGUUUGAGCUCUUUAUAUUUAAUUCGGCUGCAACCGGGAAACACCAGAAACAGCUAAACAAUACAACUCCCUUGUCAACGUUCCCUUAAAGACUUCCAAUCAGACUCAUCCCAAACCAGGGUAAAGAUUCCCAAGCCUUCAUAUGAUAAACUGUGGUGUGACACUGGUAUAAAGCAUU